UGAAACCGUUUAGGGGUAAACCUGAGAAACCCGAAAGGUCGAAGGAAGAAAUUCAAUCGCGUUUCGAAGCAAACUUUAGAUGAUGUUGUGUGACGUAUACUUUAUUCAUAAAGAGAACGCACCCAUUGUCUAUUUGAUUUUGUUACGAACGCGUGCACUUUUCUUCUGGUAGGACGUUGCGAUCUGUUGAGUGUCGGUCUACGACUUUUGAUGCUGACCAUUUGUCAUUCUUCAAACGAAUGUACGAAUGAACUCAAUUGUUCUGGCCGACUUGCUUGACAGUAUAUUAUGCGGUUAUGGGUCGCUUUUUUUUAAGCGUUUAACCCAACGCAAGUUUUCAAGUUGUGUUUAGUAAUCGGACUCAGUGCCGAUUCUAAUCGCUUGUAGCUGUGGCGUUGGUGUUCUUGAACGGACCCUAUAAUAAAACCGAUCUGCAACGCUAUAGCUUUGGGUAAUUUCAGGACCCGUCUUGAAACACGGACCAAGGAGUCUAGCAUUUACGCAAGUCAUUGGGUUUAUUUACUAAACCCAUAGGCGUAAUGAAAGUAAAAAUCUUGCUUUUUAGAAGUAAAGAUCGAGGGAAGAUGAGUGACGUCACAUGUUUAAAAGUUACUUUUUAAGCGGACGUCUUCAGCAUUCCCGGGGCGUCUCAUUCUCAGUGCGAGAAGAGGCGCACCAAGAGCGAAAACGCUGGGACCCGAAAGUUGGUGAACUAUGCCUGGUCAGGACGAA
rnacentral:rRNA from 1 species